AUGGCCAAGGAAGUUACACAGAACGUCCCCAACAUCCCCUCCCAAAUCGAUAUGGAACGUUCAAAAAUAAAUGGAGCAACUGCGAAAAGAAAUGGCUGAGGAUAUACUAUAAAUGUCUGGUAUGUAAUGACAUUUAAUUCAAAGUAAAUGUUCAUUGUUUAUUUUUAUGUAGUUGUGUGGGACAGCCAUAUGUUCAGUUCAUGCCUAUGAUUUCAGAGUUCAACAAAGCCAACAACUGCUUCAUGUGUGCCACUGAUAAAGAACCUGGAUGUGGCCCAAAGACUGACUGGAUUGAAUGUUUUGCCUGCCAACGGUGGUUCUAUGUGCUGUGCCUAGGAAUGAAGAUAAAAGAGUUCAACAGAGUAAACAACACAAACUGGAAGUACAGUCUGUUGUUGAAAAUGUAUGCUAUACCCCAUCCACACUGAAGAGGCUCUGAAAUGUACAUCAAUUUGUCAAUAUUUGUCAAUAUUACAUUUUUAUUAAUUGAUUUACUGGCCACCAUUACUGUGGUUACAUGUUCAGUAUAUGUCUUGGCCAGCAAACCCACUGCAGCCUACCUCACUAGCUUACUCUCCAUUCCUGCGUUGGACAAUUAAUAGCAUGACUCUCGUACUUUGCCCUUUUCCUUUAUGGUUGACAUUUACGAAGAAAGGAGAUAUUAUCUGUCUCUCUCCUAUUGUGUACCGCUGUUAUAUACUGUGGAAAAAAAAAAAGAAAAAAAAGGGAAAAUAAGUACUUAGAACUACCAAUUAUUGUAGAUAAAUAUUGAAGAAAAGGGUAAACAACACUGGACUGAGCCCCCUAAUUGUCAAACUAAUAAUAAUAAUAUACAACAAUAUAGAAGAUACAUGACUAGAGGUUAUGCAAUAUGGGUGUAUAUCCACUGCAUGCUUCUUAGGUGUGUAAUUGACAUGACCAAGGAGCUAUUGCAAAUUUGAAACUUGAAAAAUGUACGUUACACCGCGUGAUUUUACAGUACACAAACAAGAGUGUGCAAUAUAGAAGGGUAGUCAGCGGACAUUAGGUCACAUGACCAAGGAGCUAUUGAAAUUUUACAUUUUGAAAAAUUAAUGUAAAACCAUGUGAGAUGAAAAUGGUCAAACUAAAGGGUGUGCAAUGUGUAGGGCCACUGAGUGGACAUCCUGAACCUUGUUUGAAGUCAGUAGGUCACACGACCAAGGAGCUAUAAAUUCAUGUAAAACCAUGUGAGACAAAAAUUGACAAACUAAAGGGUGUGCAAUGUCUAUGCCAUCGGGUUAGCUACAAACAGUUUUGAAAGUGUCAGGAGUAAUGGUUAAAGAGCUAUUGAAAUGUGAACAUUUUGAUUUGUCACUAUGUUGACAAUCCCCAACUGUUGUUGGUGGACGUAAGGAAAACUACAGGCGAAUAUCCAACCUGAAACUGUCUUUACCUCAGUCCAGUGGAGAGUGCUUUUUUUUAUCUUGCUGAAAUGUUUGCUCUUGUGUUCACACGUUUAAAUGCAUAGGUCUUAUGUGGUAAAUCUAUAUUCCAUCUAAUACCACAAUAAUUGCUAGCGUUUCAUCAUUCCAUCCCCGUACCGUUUAUUGCAACAUGUAAACAUUUGUUUCAUAGCCCUACGAUACAUGUUCAUUUAGACAACCAUUUCUUACCCUCUGAGUGGGCACGAUGUUUAUUGUGCACAUGAAUGUUCACAAGACUCAUGAGGUAGAAAUUCUGUUUAUUUAAUUAAAUGUAUGGUUUCCUUUGUUCAUAUUUCCCAGGUUAUCUCGGAGUUCUGUGUCCUGUCAUUUUCAUUCUGUUCCCAUGUAUGCAUGUGUAACGGAUGUGAAACGGUUAGCUAGUCAGCGGUGGUGCGCGCUAAAUAGCGGUUCAAUCUGUGAUGUCACUUGCUCUGAGACCUUGAAGUAGUGGUUCCCCUUGCUCUGCAAGGGCCCGGCUUUUGUGGAGCGAUGGAUAAUCAUGCUUCGUGGGUGACUGUUGUUGAUGUGUGCAGAGGGUCCCUGGUUCGCGCCUGGGUAUGGGCGAGGGGACGGUCUAAAGUUAUACUGUUACACAUGGUGUUGAAAUAUCAUUAAGAUUCAUUACGUCUGAUUAAGAUGAAUGUACCAAUGUAACAAAGGAUGUGGAAAUUGCCUUUUACAUUGUAGAACCAGUUUAUUGAUUGUAUUUGCCAAUUGGGUAAUUAUAUGGUUCUGGGGGCCAAGUGCUUAUAUUAUGUAGGUCUACCUGUUUGAGCUGUUAAACAGAUUCAAUUUGGUGUCUCAAGGGGACGCUUUAGAGUUUUGCCCUCUCGCCUGUGUCCGUUCAGAUAGUACAGGUUAAGCCUGAUACAGAGGCUAUUCCUUUUGGGCUAUUGCCCAUAUAUCUUUGGUAAAUCUACUUGUAUAUUUUGUAUGAUAUGGCACUUUCACCAUUGGAUCAACUAAACCUGUAAAUAAAUCUACACACUUGAGCAUGUCAACCUGCCUUGCCUUCUGCUGAUUUCAUGCCCUUACGACUGCUACAAGGUCCCUAUUUCACAAUUACAUAGGCUAAUCAAAAUGUGUUGUAGACAAACUCAUGAAAAGGGCUGUCUGGUAGACUCGAUAAAUAGACAAAGAUUUAGCACUUUGUGACAUUGGCUGAUGUAAAAAGAGCUCUAUAAAUACAUUUGAUUGAUUGAUUUGUAGUUGAACAAGUCAUUGCAUGUAUACAUGUUUUUUUUUUACUUGACUUGCGACUCGACUCUAUUUGCUCUUAGAAUGCACAACUUGGACUUGACAAGUUCUACAUGGGACUUGACUUGAAACUCGGACCUUGUGACUCGAAUGAUAGGUGAAUUGUUCCCACCUCUGGUAUUUACCUUUGUCCUUUACCAUUCCUCUGAUUUGUUUCUUCAGUUCAAGUAUCUCCCCUUCCAGUCGUUCGAUCUGUGAGGUCAAAAGGGGUCAUGAAGGAAACAGGGCCACUGGCAGAGCUAAAGGUUUUUGUUCCAAAUGUCACCCUAUUCCCUAUAUAGUGCACUACUUUUGACCCGUGUCCAUAGGGCUCAGGUCAAAGGUAGAGCACUAUGUAGGGAAUAGGGUGCCAAUUGGGACACAGUCAAAUUGACCUCAAGACAUUUACCUCUUUGGUGAGAUCCUGGUUCUCUGCUUUGAACUGCCGCUGUUUCAGGGAUUCGGUUCUUCUGAAUUCCGUCAGAUCCACUUCCUCUUGGGGCUCCAGGGUGAUGGAUGAAAAACAGAAACUGAAUGAAAGGAUAUCCACUCCAACAACAAAACUGUCUAGCCUCUAAGGUCGUUCACUAACUUUAUGAAAUAUCUGCUCUCUCUCUGUUUUUGAUUUCUUUGUUGUUUCUUGUUUCUUGUUCUUAUUUUACAUAACAAAAUUCUCUCUGUAAAGUGUGUUGAGAUAAUGUGAAAUUAACUUUAAAUGUGACUUAACGUUUUUUAAUUUAAUUCGUUUGGUGACUUACCGAGACUUUCCUUAACAUCUGCAUUGAUUCUCAUUUCCAGCUGGUUGAUAUCUGUGGUCAUGGCCUCCGUCUCGCGGUCUCAUCUCUCAUCUGAUUCUUAUAUUCUUUGAUCUCAGCGAUGGCCACCUGCAGACCAUCAGUGCCCUGCAGGACAGUAAAGAGAGCCUAGAAAGAUCAGCCAUGGCUUUCGAACUUUGUUUUAUC
ensembl:lncRNA